rnacentral:tRNA from 1 species
GCGGGUGUAGUUUAGUGGUAAAACUUUAGCCUUCCAAGCUAAUAAUGGGGGUUCGAUUCCGCCCACCCGCU